rnacentral:lncRNA from 1 species
GUGCAUCAUUAACAGGUUUUGGAUUUGACUUAGUCAAAUCGAAUUCUGUGAGUUUACUAGAUUAUGUUGGUUCUUCUACCUGUCGAACUUCAUCAAGCUCAAUUUUAGAAGCACUAAUUCUUUCACUUAGAAAUUUUUUUUAAAAAAAUUAUACUUUAUUGCUCAUGAACAUUUUUUGUUUAUUAGCAAAGUAGAAGUAAUCCCCCAUUAUUUCUUUAGGAUACCCU